rnacentral:rRNA from 1 species
CUGCUAAGACUGGAUAGGAAAUUAAAAGGCAUCUUUUAAUUUUUAAAAGACCUUUUUCGGAAGGUAUGCUUAAAGAGGGGCUUGCGCCACAUUAGUUAGUUGGUAAGGUAAAGGCUUACCAAGACGAUGAUGUGUAGCUGGACUGAGAGGUCGAACAGCCACAUUGGGACUGAGACACGGCCCAAACUCCUACGGGAGGCAGCAGUAAGGAAUUUUUGGCAAUGGAGGAAACUCUGACCGAGCGACGCCGCGUGAACAAUGAAGUACUUCGGUAUGUAAAGUUCUUUUAUUGAAAAAGAAAAAAUAGUGGAAAAACUAUCUUGACAUUAUUCAAUGAAUAAGCCCCGGCUAAUUAUGUGCCAGCAGCCGCGGUAAUACAUAAGGGGCGAGCGUUAUCCGGAAUUAUUGGGCGUAAAGGGUGCGUAGGCGGUUUGAUAAGUCUAUAGUUUAAUUGCAGUGCUUAACGCUGUAUCGCUAUAGAAACUGUCUGACUAGAGUUAGAUAGAGGCAAGCGGAAUUCCAUGUGUAGCGGUAAAAUGCGUAAAUAUAUGGAGGAACACCAGAGGCGUAGGCGGCUUGCUGGGUCUUAACUGACGCUGAGGCACGAAAGCGUGGGGAGCAAACAGGAUUAGAUACCCUGGUAGUCCACGCCGUAAACGAUGAGUACUAAGUGUCGGGUUUUGGCUCGGUACUGAAGUUAACACAUUAAGUACUCCGCCUGAGUAGUACGUACGCAAGUAUGAAACUUAAAGGAAUUGACGGGACCCCGCACAAGCGGUGGAUCAUGUUGUUUAAUUCGAAGAUACACGAAAAACCUUACCAGGUCUUGACAUAAUUUUGCGACAUUAUAGAAAUAUAAUGAAGGUUAUCAGAAUUACAGGUGGUGCAUGGUUGUCGUCAGCUCGUGUCGUGAGAUGUUAGGUUAAGUCCUAAAACGAGCGCAACCCUUGUCGUUAGUUGCGACCACAUAAUGGUGAGCACUUUAGCGAGACUGCCAAUGAAAAAUUGGAGGAAGGUGAGGAUUACGUCAAAUCAUCAUGCCCCUUAUGAUCUGGGCUACAAACGUGAUACAAUGGCUCUUACAAAGAGUAGCUACAACGUGAGUUUUUAGCCAAUCUCAAAAAAACAGUCUCAGUUCGGAUUGAAGUCUGCAACUCGACUUCAUGAAGUUGGAAUCGCUAGUAAUCGCGAAUCAGCAUGUCGCGGUGAAUACGUUCUCGGGGUUUGUACACACCG